UAUUGCCACAGCCUAUGAAUAUCAAUAAGUUACUGCAUGUAAAACAGUGUCAGUACUGUAACAGUGCAAGCUGAAGCAACAGAAGAGGAAGAAAGACACACAGUUCCACAAGAGUUCUUCUUCUACUGGGUCAAGUUCCCUACAGUCAUAAGGUUUGCUGAGAGUCGAGCACUUCUCCAAUCAUCUCUUGGAAAAGGGAAGUGCAAGAGCACAGUAGAGGUCAUGGCUGGUAUUCUCAUGAUUCAGCCUCACCUUUAUCAAAAACCAUCUGUGGAAUUUGGCCAUGUAUUUCUGCCCUGCUCCCAUAUGGAAAGCAUCUCACUACAUCAGCUAAACCUGACUUAAGGUCACACUCAUAGCAGCAGGGCUUCAGCUC
ensembl:lncRNA